GAUGAACGCUGGCGGCGUGCCUAAUACAUGCAAGUCGAGCGAACGGACGAGAAGCUUGCUUCUCUGACGUUAGCGGCGGACGGGUGAGUAACACGUGGAUAACCUACCUAUACGACUGGGCUAACUUCGGGAAACCGUAGCUAAUACCGGAUAAUAUUUUGAACCGCAUGGUUCAAAAGUGAAAGACGGUCUUGCUGUCACUUAUAGAUGGAUCCGCGCUGCAUUAGCUAGUUGGUAAGGUAACGGCUUACCAAGGCAACGAUGCAUAGCCGACCUGAGAGGGUGAUCGGCCACACUGGAACUGAGACACGGUCCAGACUCCUACGGGAGGCAGCAGUAGGGAAUCUUCCGCAAUGGGCGAAAGCCUGACGGAGCAACGCCGCGUGAGUGAUGAAGGUCUUCGGAUCGUAAAACUCUGUUAUUAGGGAAGAACAUAUGUGUAAGUAACUGUGCACAUCUUGACGGUACCUAAUCAGAAAGCCACGGCUAACUACGUG
rnacentral:rRNA from 1 species